rnacentral:rRNA from 1 species
AUUGAACGCUAACGGCAUGCUUAACACAUGCAAGUCGAACGGCAGCACGGUCGUAGCAAUACGAUGGGUGGCGAGUGGCGGACGGGUGAGUAAUAUAUAGGAAUCUGCCUUGUAGUGGGGGAUAACCCGGGGAAACUCGGGCUAAUACCGCAUAAUCUUUACGAAGCAAAGUGGGGGAUCGUAAGACCUUACGCUAUAAGAUGAGCCUAUAUUGGAUUAGCUAGUUGGCGGGGUAAAGGCCUACCAAGGCAACGAUCCAUAGCUGGUCUGAGAGGAUGAUCAGCCACACUGGGACUGAGACACGGCCCAGACUCCUACGGGAGGCAGCAGUGGGGAAUAUUGGACAAUGGGCGAAAGCCUGAUCCAGCAAUGCCGUGUGUGUGAAGAAGGCCUUAGGGUUGUAAAGCACUUUUAGUGGAGAAGAAAAGCUCAUGGGUAAUAUCCAUGAGUGCAGACGUUAUCCACAGAAAAAGCACUGGCUAACUCUGUGCCAGCAGCCGCCGUAA